UACGUAGGUGGCAGGCGUGUCCGGAAUUAUUGGGCGUAAAGCGCGCGCAGGUGGUUCUUUUAAGUCUGAUGUGAAAGCCCACGGCUCAACCGUGGAGGGUCAUUGGAAACUGGGGAACUUGAGUGCAGAAGAGGAAAGUGGAAUUCCAAGUGUAGCGGUGAAAUGCGUAGAGAUUUGGAGGAACACCAGUGGCGAAGGCGACUUUCUGGUCUGUAACUGACACUGAGGCGCGAAAGCGUGGGGAGCAAACAGGG
rnacentral:rRNA from 1 species